GGCAGCAGCAGCAAGCCAGCAGCUGAUCGGGUAAAGAGACCAAUAUCAGAAUAACAACCUACUUCCUACCCGUUUCUGAUGACAUCACUUCCGAUCCUUACAGAUGACAUCGCUUCCGGUUCCUGCCAGCAACGUCACUUUCGUCCCUCCUGGUGAUCUCAUUUCCAGAACAACCUCCUUCCAUUCCCUAUAAAAGCCUAACCAUUGUUUUCUAUUUUGUCUCUGUUUCUUAUAGAAAAGACCAGUAUCAGUCAAUUUUCCCUACUCUGCAAAACCUGACAUUAUACGGGACGGUCACCACAA